rnacentral:rRNA from 1 species
AUUGCCUCAGUAACGGCGAGUGAAGCGGCAAGAGCUCAAAUUUGAAAGCUGGCCCCUUCGGGGUCCGCGUUGUAAUUUGCAGAGGAUGCUUCGGGUGCAGCCCCCGUCUAAGUGCCCUGGAACGGGCCGUCAUAGAGGGUGAGAAUCCCGUCUGGGACGGGGUGUCUGCGUCCGUGUGAAGCUCCUUCGACGAGUCGAGUUGUUUGGGAAUGCAGCUCUAAAUGGGUGGUAAAUUUCAUCUAAAGCUAAAUACUGGCCGGAGACCGAUAGCGCACAAGUAGAGUGAUCGAAAGAUGAAAAGCACUUUGAAAAGAGAGUUAAACAGCACGUGAAAUUGUUGAAAGGGAAGCGUUUGCGACCAGACUCGCCCGCGGGGUUCAGCCGGCAUUCGUGCCGGUGUACUUCCCCGUGGGCGGGCCAGCGUCGGUUUGGGCGGCCGGUCAAAGGCCCUCGGAAUGUAUCACCUCUCGGGGUGUCUUAUAGCCGAGGGUGCAAUGCGGCCUGCCUGGACCGAGGAACGCGCUUCGGCUCGGACGCUGGCGUAAUGGUCGUAAAUGACCCGUCUUGAAACACGGACCAAGGAGUCUAACAUCUACGCGAGUGUUCGGGUGUCAAACCCGUACGCGCAGUGAAAGCGAACGGAGGUGGGAGCCCCCUCGCGGGGCGCACCAUCGACCGAUCCUGAUGUCUUCGGAUGGAUUUGAGUACGAGCGUAGCUGUGGGGACCCGAAAGAUGGUGAACUAUGCCUGAAUAGGGCGAAGCCAGAGGAAACUCUGGUGGAGGCUCGCAGCGGUUCUGACGUGCAAAUCGAUCGUCAAAUUUGGGUAUAGGGGCGAAAGACUAAUCGAACCAUCUAGUAGCUGGUUCCUGCCGAAGUUUCCCUCA